rnacentral:rRNA from 1 species
UGCAAGUCGAACGAACCUUCGGGUUAGUGGCGGACGGGUGAGUAACGCGUGAGAAUCUGCCCUCAGGAGGGGGAUAACAGUUGGAAACGACUGCUAAUACCCCAUAUGCCGAGAGGUGAAACGAAUUUCGCCUGGGGAUGAGCUCGCGUCUGAUUAGCCUGUUGGUGGGGUAAUGGCCUACCAAGGCUUUGAUCAGUAGCUGGUCUGAGAGGACGAUCAGCCACACUGGGACUGAGACACGGCCCAGACUCCUACGGGAGGCAGCAGUGGGGAAUUUUCCGCAAUGGGCGAAAGCCUGACGGAGCAACGCCGCGUGAGGGAUGAAGGCCUUUGGGCUGUAAACCUCUUUUCUCAAGGAAGAAGAUCUGACGGUACUUGAGGAAUAAGCCACGGCUAAUUCCGUGCCAGCAGCCGCGGUAAUACGGGAGUGGCAAGCGUUAUCCGGAAUUAUUGGGCGUAAAGCGUCCGCAGGCGGCCGUUUAAGUCUGUUGUUAAAUUGUGGAGCUCAACUCCAUCACGGCAAUGGAAACUGUUCGGCUUGAGUAUGGUAGGGGCAGAGGGAAUUUCUGGUGUAGCGGUGAUAUGCGUAGAUAUCGGGAAGAACACCUGUGGCGAAAGCGCUCUGCUGGGCCAUUACUGACGCUCAUGGACGAAAGCCAGGGGAGCGAAAUGGAUUAGAUACCCAUGUAGUCCUGGCCGUAAACGAUGAACACUAGAUGUUGGGGGAAUCGACCCCCUCAGUGUCGUAGCUAACGCGUUAAGUGUUCCGCCUGGGGAGUACGCACGCAAGUGUGAAACUCAAAGGAAUUGACGGGG